UACAGAGGGUGCGAGCGUUAAUCGGAAUUACUGGGCGUAAAGCGUGCGUAGGUGGUUCGUUAAGUCCGUUGUGAAAGCCCCGAGCUCAACUUGGGAAUUGCAGUGGAUACUGGCGAGCUGGAGUGCGGUAGAGGAAGGUGGAAUUCCCGGUGUAGCGGUGAAAUGCGUAGAGAUCGGGAGGAACACCAGUGGCGAAGGCGGCCUUCUGGACCAGCACUGACACUCAAGCACGAAAGCGUGGGGAGCAAACAGG
rnacentral:rRNA from 1 species